rnacentral:lncRNA from 1 species
CUCUACUAUAAAUACAAAAUAGCCGCGUGUGGUGGUGGGCAUCUGUAAUUUCAGCUACUCGGGAGGCUGAAGCAGGAGACGCUUGAACUUGGGAGGCAGAGAUUGCAGUGAGCUGAGAUUGCACCACUGCACUCCAGCCUGGAUGACAGAAAGGCCAUGUCUCAAAAAAAAAAAAAAGAAAGAAAAAGAAACAGGGAAGGGAAGGAAAAUCUGACGUCACAGUGAUCACAGCCACACUUACCAACUCCCAUUGGUUAAUGCUGUCAGAAUCACCAGCAUCUGUAACUCCUUUCCCUCCGGGGUGUCUUGUUUAUAUUUGAAAUGGAAUUCCAGUAGAUGGAAAUUAUAUCCUUUUCUAAAAGAGGCUGCUUAAGUGCAUUCUGAAGAGAGUAGUAGAUUGAAUUUCUCUGUUAUCUUAGAUGAUGAGUAUGAGCAUAAAAAAGAAAUGAAAAAUAACAAAAAGAAAUGCCAAACAGUCCAUUUUGUUAAUUAUAAUCUUUCUGCUAGGUACCAAAACACCCUCUGUAACUUCAAUUCUCCUUAUGUAUCACUGACCAUCAAAAGCACAAUAAUCAUUUCUCCUUGGUCCACAGUAAAAUAUUCCAAAGUAAAACAAAAAAAUCCUUUUUAGAAACCAGCUUCUCUCUCUCACUAAACACAGUCCACUUACACAAGUCCCUCCACAGAUGCCCCAUCUGAAGGCAGCGCUUCAUGGGGAGCCCCAUACGAUGGCUCCCUGACUCUGCGAUCUGGUCUGGAGAUGCAGUGGCCCUGACUCUGCGGUAGCACCGACUCUGAGUUCUGGUCUGGAGGUGCGGUGGCCCCGACCCUGCGGUCUGGUCUGGAGGUGCAGUGGCCCCGACUCUGUGAUCUGGUCUGGAGGUGCAGUGGCCCCGACUCUGCGAUCUGGUCUGGAGGUGCAGUGGCCCCGACUCUGAGGUCUGGUCUGGAGGUGCAGUGGCCCCGACUCUGAGGUCUGGUCUGGAGGUGCAGUGGGACGCACCAAGGCUCUGUGCCAAGUCCCCGCAGGCUCCUGCUCAGGACACAGUGCAGCUCAGCACAUUAAUGACAGCUCUCACAGCCUCGAGGAAACAAAUGUUUCCCUUUGUUAGCCCAAAGUUUCCUAAACACAUCUGACUUGGAGCUAGAUUUUCACAUCUCUGCUGUACCAAGGGAAGGCAGGAGCGGCUGCUCCAUAGGAAGCCAUGGUCCCCCGGGCCAGGACCGAGUAAUCGGUGUUGUUCCCCUCCACAAGGUCACCGGUUUGACUCCUGUGUAACAGUGGACUUGACUGUGUCUUAUGGACACAGACUGGAUUCUAAUCCCAUCAGCCCUUUCUCAUCACAAGUCAUCGCCUCCUGGUAAAAGGGGAGGGUGGGGAGAAGUGAACUUGUCAGUCUAGCGGUCUGUAAUUCUGUCAUCCCCACAAACCCAUCUCUAAUACUGGGGAAAAUGGACACCAAGUCCAGUUCCUGGUCCAUUCAAACUGGCCACGCACAUCACCGGGGGGUAAGGAUGGAGCAGGUGCAAUUCCAGUGUUCACAGCCCAAGGCUUCCCAGAGCAAUCUGCUGUAAUGGUAGAGUUUAAAUUAAAUUAUAUAUAAACACUCAAGAUGCAUACCUCUUUGUGUGAAUGCAUCAUUUGUUUUAUUUUUAAGAAAAGGGAAAAAAAACUGAAAAUCUGUCCCUGGGUGUGGUUACUAAGCCCUA